rnacentral:rRNA from 1 species
GACGAACGCUGGCGGCGUGCUUAACACAUGCAAGUCGAACGAUGAAGUUCCUUCGGGAAUGGAUUAGUGGCGAACGGGUGAGGAACACGUGAGAAACCUGCCUUUCAUUUUGGGAUAACUCCGGGAAACCGGGGCUAAAACCGAAUACUCCGUCUCGGCGGCAUCGCUGAGCCGGGAAAAAAUUUUGAUGAAAGAUGGUCUCGCGGCCUAUCAGCUAGUUGGUGAGGUAAUGGCUCGCCAAGGCAACGACGGGUAGCCGGCCUGAGAGGGCGACCGGCCACACUGGGACUGAGACACGGCCCAGACUCCUACGGGAGGCAGCAGUGGGGAAUAUUGGGCAAUGGGCGCAAGCCUGACCCAGCGACGCCGCGUGAGGGAUGAAGGCCUUCGGGUUGUAAACCUCUUUCAGUAGGGAAGAAGCGUAAGUGACGGUACCUAAAGAAGAAGCACCGGCUAACUAUGUGCCAGCAGCCGCCGCCG